GUUUGGAAGUCCUGGCACACCAUAGUUGGGUUCUCUGCUUCAGGGUCUCACCGGGCUGCAGUCAAGGUACUAACUGGGCUGUGUUCUCAUCUGAAAGCUCAUCUAGGGAAAAAUCUGCUUCCAGGCUCUAUCAGGUUGUUGGCAGAAAGCACUUCUCUGCAGCUCUAUGACUGAGGGCCCUGUCUUCUUACUGACUGUUGGCUAGAGGCUUCCUUCAAGCCCUAGAGACUGCCUAUAGUUCCUAAAAGCUGCCCACAGUUCUUGCCACAUGGCAGCUUGAAUUUUCAAAGCCAGCAGGAUAAUCUUUCUCUCUCCAGUCUGCUAAAAUGGAGUCUUAAAUAAUGUAAUAUAAUCAGGAGAGUGACAUUGCAUCCAGCACCACUGCCAUAUUCUAUUGGUUAGAAGCAAGUCAUCAGUUCUGUCUGCACUCAAAGAUAGGGGAUCAUAGACGGGUAUGACCCAAUGGAGGUCAGUUUAGGGUACCACCACAGCCAUGUUAUUUUUGGGAGGAUGUAUCCUUCUGUGCUUUUUUCUAUGAUUGCAUACACAUAUUACAUUACAAAUACAGUGUAAAUUGAUUUUUUCAUUUUGUCAGUAUUCUUUAAAAAUCUGAUUUUUGAGUGACAUCAGCAUCAUAGCAGAAUGAGUUGUUCCCUUUGUCUCUCCCCUCUAAGUUACAACCAGUAGGACAUCUACAGACCAACAAAGGAUUCUCUGCAUAGCACACCAGAACGCCUGAGAGAUCCAUACAUCUAUACAUCUAAAGAGUUAUUCAUAGUAGCCAAGACUUGGAUGCAACCUAAAUGCCCAUCAACAGAUGAACAGAGAAAGAAGAUGUGAUAAACACAAUGGAAUACUACUCACCCAUAAAAAAGAUGAAACCUUGCCACUUACAACAAUGUGGAUGGACCUUGAGGGUAUUAUGAGUAGAGGCCGUGUGAGGACACAGAGAGAAGGUGGCCAUCUACAAGCCAGGAAGAGAAGCCUCACCAGAACCAACCCUGACAGCACCUUGAUCGUGGACUUCUAGCCUCCAGAACAGUGAGAAAAUAGAUUUCUGUUGUUUCUGCCGCCCAGUCUGCGGUAUCUCCUGAGCAGACUAACACACCUGCUUUAUUUUUCUUUGCAACACUUAUUACCACAUGACUUAUGAGUGAUUACAUGUCUACUAGAACAUAAGCUGGGGCUUUUUGAUUAUGGCUGUGAGAUCACCUGGCAUGUAGUAGGCAUGCCAUAAGUAUUUGUCGGAUGAGCGAAU
rnacentral:lncRNA from 1 species